rnacentral:rRNA from 1 species
AGCGAACGCUGGCGGCGUGCCUAACACAUGCAAGUCGAGCGCGGGCAUUUCGGGGGUAACCCGGAUGUGCUGAGCGGCGGACGAGUGAGUAAUACGUGGACAACCUGCCUUAAAGCUUGGGAUAACUCCGGGAAACUGGAGCUAAUACCGGAUAAGACCACGGUGUCUAUGGAUGCUGAGGUAAAAGGCGGCCAGGAAACUGGCUGUUGCUUAAAG